rnacentral:rRNA from 1 species
UACGUAGGUGGCAAGCGUUGUCCGGAUUUCUUGGGUUUAAAGGGUGCGUAGGCGGCUUUGUAAGUCAGUGGUGAAAUACGGUAGCUUAACUAUCGAGGUGCCAUUGAUACUGCAGAGCUUGAGUACAGAUGAGGUAGGCGGAAUUGACGGUGUAGCGGUGAAAUGCUUAGAUAUCGUCAAGAACACCUAUAGCGAAGGCAGCUUACUAGGCUGUAACUGACGCUGAGGCACGAAAGUGUGGGGAUCAAACAGG